CGAUGGCCCAGAGCUGUGAAAGAAGAGGACGAGGGUGGAGGAGGGUAGUGGCGAGAGGCAGGCGGGCCAUGUCCAUGGAUCCAGGCAGGAAGUCCCCAGGGCCAGGUCAGAGCAGCCCUCGGACUGGCCCGCAGCACCGGGUCAGCAGUGUGUGGGGUCCCCAACCUCUCCGUCUCCCUCUCCAUGGCCAGGGUCCUCGAGCACCUCAGCAAACUCACCAGAGAAGUGAUCCUGGACUAUGAGCGCAGCAUGAACAAGAUGAGCUUUGACAAGAUCGUCUCCUCCAAACCCGACACAUUCUCCUAUGUGACCCUGCCCAAGAAGGAGGAGGAGACGGUGCCUGAGAAGGGCCUUGCUGGAGCCUGGGGUGGGGCCGAGGAUGUGGCUUGCCUCUCAGAGAAAAGACGAGCCAGGGUGCAGAUGUUCCUCAAGGACAGCUGGAUCAGCACACUAAAGGUGGCAAUGCGCAGCAGCCUGCGCGACAUGAGCAAAGGCUGGUACAACCUCUACGAGGCUAACUGGGAAGUGUACCUCAUGUCGAAGCUGCGCAAGCUGAUGGAGACGAUCAAGUACAUGCUGCAGGACACGCUGCGCUUCCUGGUGCAAGACUCGCUUGCCAGCUUCACACAGUUCAUCAGCGACAUCUGCGGCAGUGUGCGCGACUGCCCCGAAGACAUGGUCUGGGGUGAAGACUUAAUGAACAGCCCCUACAGGUGGGGCCCAGCAGGGCCAGGCAGCUGGCUGUUCCUUCCCAGGCUGCAGUGGCAGAGCCAGAGCUCCCAGCACUGCCAGGUCCUGGACGACAGGGAGAGCCUGGCUGCCCCUAGGUGGCCCCAAGGCUAUCAGACAAUGUCCCACAAGCCCUGGCUGGCAUUUUGGUCACCUCCUUUCACUCAAUUAGUAUUUGAGUUAAUGUAACUGACAGAUUUUCUUUGAAUACUUGCCAUGAGCCAGGCACAGAUAUAGGGGAAGCAGAGAUAUAGUUCCUGCUCUCUCAGAGAGGCAGACAGCAAGCCAUUAACUAAAAACCAUCAUUACUGAUUCUGUUAAGGACAGUGGUGGGCACUAGGGGUGGGCCUUUGCCAGGGUAUCAGAGAGAGAUACAUGUGAGCCAAGACCUGAGAUGUGAGAAGAAAACAGACACAGGAGGUGGAGGGACCAACAAGCAGAGGCACCAAGGAGAGAAAGGGCUUGGGGCAGUCAAGGAAGGAUGGGAUAGAAGCCAUGGCUGGAGUAGGGGAGU
rnacentral:lncRNA from 1 species